GUGCUAUUUUUUCCCUACUUCCGGUAAGAAGUAAACAUUCGUAUUUCGCUGUCAAAUUGUUUGGAACACACUCUGUUCGAAGAAUACUUGUUAUUGUCAAGUGAAUCGUGUAUGUGCUGAGGAGAACUGUGUUAUUUGCGACAUGAAAGAUGAACGUAAAAUAGCAACAUUGGGUGAAAAAAUGUGUAGAUAGUUAAUUUCUGCAGCCAGAAAUAAAGGAGAACAAAUGUAUGUUAGACCUGAGAAAAUUGUGUGCUAUGAGUGUAGAAAAAUUACUGCCACCCGAACCUACUUUAAGAUGCAAACGGUACCUCUAUAACAUAGCGAAACGGUCACAUUGAUCUGACUUCGUUUCAUUUCAAAUGCCUGUUCUGAGGUAUAGAUGUCAAACAAAAUUACAAAAAGGCAUAUGAUGAUUUCCAAAUUUCAGUCAACAAUAAAGAAAAAUUGGAAGCGAAGUCUUCUGUUGACUCUAAUCCGUACAUGAUCUAACAGCAGUUGGUGCAAGAUAUCAUCAAAAAUGUAGCACACAUUUCAGAACAGGAUGUCAAGUUCUGACUCUACAUCAAACACCUCAAAAUACUGUAAAACGUAGUAAAGGUAGACCAGCAAAAGAAUCAUCUGAAGAGGCAUUUUUGAAAACCAUGCAUUAUUUUGAAAACACUGAAAGUGAGCAAAUAGCUUAAAUUAUUAAAUGAUCCUAGGCAGAGUCUUUGUAAAUAAACACUCUUAACAUGAUGACAUUGAAACAGCUGGUAGUAUAUCAUUCAUAAUUAUGUUUGUACAAAGGUAAAACAAAUGAAACAUUAAACACAUUGAGGUACAGAAAAUUCAUUACGAAGGCAACAAGCACAUCGGUAGUAAAGAUACAGAGCCUAACUCCUACAGAGGCAACUGCAAAGUUUCAUAGUUUUAGAGUGCACUGCCAUUAAAAUAGAGACAUGAAAUGGAAAGGAAACGAGCCCUCUUGACUUGGGAUGGUACAAACGUGGUGAUAAACUUGUUCCUUGGCACAGAGGUUGCUCUACUGGGAUGGCUGUAGAUGUCAUGACAUUAACACUUAACUGACUUUCAUAAUCUUGA
rnacentral:lncRNA from 1 species